rnacentral:rRNA from 1 species
GUGUCAGCAGCCGCGGUAAUACGAACUGUGCGAACGUUAUUCGGAAUCACUGGGCUUAAAGGGUGCGUAGGCGGUUAUCUAAGUCAGGUGUGAAAUCUCUCGGCUCAACCGGGAAACUGCGCUUGAAACUGGGUGACUGGAGGGAUGCAGGGGUGUGUGGAACUUCCGGUGGAGCGGUGAAAUGUGUAGAUAUCGGAAGGAACGCCAGCAGCGAAAGCGGCACACUGGGCAUCUACUGACGCUGAGGCACGAAAGCUAGGGGAGUGAACGGGAUUAGAUACCCCGGUAAUCCUAGCCGUAAACACUGAGCACUGGAGGAGGGAGGUUUCGGCCUUCUUUCUCGUAGCGAAAGCGUUAAGUGCUCCGCCUGGGGAGUAUGGUCGCAAGGCUGAA